rnacentral:rRNA from 1 species
UUUUUUUUUUCAGGGGAGGGCUGAGGGAGGAGAUGGCCACUGGGAGCGACCGCUUAGCGGCGGCGGUAGGGGGCGGUCGGCGGUGAGGAGCUGCGUAGGCGAGGGGCGCUGCGGCUAGGGACUGAGGGACGGCUGGGCGCGCACGAGGGGACGGGAGGAGACGCGGCGGGUGGAGCGGCGUGAGGGCCGCGGUAGUGGGGAGCGGAGGGAGGCGUGGGGGCAACGCGGACCGGCAGCAGCACGACUGGACGGCGAGGACUGAGGCCGCGGCCUCCGGCUGACGGGCUAGAGGAGCUGGACGUCGACGAUUGGGCCAAAAGAGCGCUACCCCGAAAAGCCACCAUCGAAGUUCAAAAACCACCCUCACCCUACACCACAGAUACAUCGAGUCUUGAUGUUGCAAGGUUUACAGUUCUUCGACAAGUUGUGCAUACAAAAGGACCGUUUCGUGUAACUCCUUUGUAUGGCAUUCGGCUUCUUUCUGCUGUUUCUGCUCACUAAUAGCGUGGGGACCGCUUCUCUUCACAUGAGACUGUACUGUCUUUGCACUAGAAGUUCUUGAAUAAUAUUGAUACUGCUACGUAUCACCCAUCGACACUUUAAAUAGCACCGUUCCAAACACCUAGAGAUACUGCUUUGGAAUCAUAAAAACUUCAUCCUCUCUUCCAUACGUUUAUAGGC